rnacentral:rRNA from 1 species
AUGAGGUCCCAGAAGGAUUUUGUGCUGCUGGUAGUAACGUUAUGGGCUGUAUGGAAAGCAAGACAAAAGGCAAUAUCUGAAGGAGUUUUUCAGAGUCCACAAGCAACAUACCAGUUCAUUCAGUCCUACUUAGCAAACUUGAAAACUACCAAGGAACCAGUUACAGAGAGAGCAAGAACUCAUUUGGCCAGCCGAGCACAAUGGAUUCCUCCUCCUGAGAACUUUCAGAAAAUAAACGUUGAUGCUGCAGUUGCAAACAACCGGGGAAGAGGAGUUGCUGCUGCUAUCUGCCGAGAUCAUGAUGGCACUUUUCAGGGGGCAUCGGCUAUAUUUUUCAAGGGAAUAUGUGAUCCUCAAACUUUAGAAGCUCUGGCUGUACGGGAAGCUUUAGCUCUUGCUGACGAUCUCAAUCUUCGACGAGUACAUGUUGCGUGA